rnacentral:lncRNA from 1 species
UGCAAGUGAUGUUUUCUUUUCCUGUUUGUUUGUUUGCAUUUCUCCCUGUGCCCUGCUUGAAGGAGGUGUGCUGGAGGAGGAUUGCUUUGCUCCUGGCUGAUGGACUAAAGUAAACAUAGAGAAAAAGGUGCACACAGUCAUCAUUGUCAUCAGCAACUGGAGAUGGACUAGAAGAAUGUAACGGAGCACACAUCUGGCAGCGUGACAUUAUUCCUAUGGGGUGCAAUGUGCCCUCUGUGCACGGAAUCAUCACUGUGGAUUUCUGCUUCAGUCCUGUGGGCAUGAGCUGUACUGUGUGUGCACUGAGGAGAGCCAGAAAGGAGCACGGAGUCAUC